rnacentral:rRNA from 1 species
UACAGAGGGGGCAAGCGUUGUUCGGAAUUACUGGGCGUAAAGGGCGCGUAGGCGGCCUUCUAAGUCGAACGUGAAAUCCCUGGGCUCAACCCAGGAACUGCGUCCGAUACUGGAAGGCUUGAAUCCGGGAGAGGGAUGCGGAAUUCCAGGUGUAGCGGUGAAAUGCGUAGAGAUCGGGAGGAACAUCAGUGGCGAAGGCGGCCCUCUGGACCAGCACUGACGCUGAGGCACGAAAGCGUGGGGAGCGAACAGG